ensembl:lncRNA
UGCCAGCUGCAGAUGUGGCAGCAGCCAAGCUUCCUCGGCUUUCAAUGCAGUACACUUGGGUUAAAAGAAACCCCUUCUGUCAGUGUCAUUCCCCUGUCUUCCCAGCAUGGGAGUCCUCUGGCUUCUAAGGAACCUUCAGGAAUUCCUGGAAGAUGAGCUGCAGUGAGGUUUUCAAGUUUCCCCUAAACACGGGGGUGAAGUGAUGUGUCUAUCCCGGGCAGCAGCGAGGCCCCAGCGCUGGGGCUGCCUCCUCCUCCUCUGCUCUUCACUGGGGCUGUCCCUGAGGCUGGCACAGCCCCACUGCUGCCCCAAACUGGGCAGGAGAAACACCCUGAGCACACAAGCUCAAACAUCUGCAGCACAUCCUUGAUGUUACUGCAAAAAGUAUCCAAUUGUGACUAAAGCACAAAUGGAAUUUUCAUUUCAAAACUGCAUCAAACUGGCACUACACACUGCUCUCCCAGCGCUGAGGCACAAAAUUCUCCUGCUUAAAAAGGAGAAAUUACCAGAAUCACAGAGGAAUCGUGGCAGUCACUUUUCAGCUGGCCUGAUUAAAAACCCCUUUACACAUUGCUCAACCUUUGUUUUUGAGAUGUAAGAUAAUUUCAAGACUUCUUGGGACAGGGGGGAGAAGGAAAAACAGAGCUGCAGGUUUUGUGUGCAGACCUUUAAAGAAGGGGCAAAGAGAACAGGUAAAGAAGCUCUUGGACCUCCCAGCUCAGGGGAGGCACAGGUCUCCUCCCAGCCCAGCCCCUCUGCAAACCAGAAAACAAAAAGGUCUGGUUAUCAUUUUAAAGUGAUAAUGCAAUGAGACCAAAAGUUUGAAUUUCAUAAAUAACUGACCUUUAGCACUUCACCCCAAUAAACCACUGCUUCCAGGAGGGGAAAAGGGCCUGAUCUGACAGGGCCAUUGCAGGAAGGCCACACUGCCUUCCUAAGGCUGCCUCUGAGCACAGCCUGCUUCCCACAGCUCGGCAGCACUGGGCCAGGACCCAAACACGAGCAAAAACCUGCAUCAAAAAUGGCUAAAUAUCAGGUAAAACAGCAAUCCUGUGGUUUGCCUUUUCUCACCACUGUUCUUAGCUAAAGCGACCCCUCCACUUUUCACUGCUACUGAGAUAUAAAUCUGGAUUAAGAGCCUGUGUGAAAGUCAGUGUUUCAUGUGAUACAUAACAAUGCACAAAGUUGUCUUCUAAAAAACAGCAUUUGUAUUAAAAUUCUUCAAAUGGACAGACAUCUUUUCAAUGCAUGUCUGCAGUUAAAAUGACAGUUGUUAGAGUUUUCUUGGUACAUCACAACGAGAAGAUUUCCUUCUUUGCUGGCUGGAGGCACAUCCCAUGACAAAAACAAAAUCAAAGGGAAAUAGAACCAAAAAAAAAAAAAUCCCCCCACCCAAAAAUCCCAAAAGGCUAAAUUCUUGUAAAUUUGAAGUAAAUGAAGCCCAAACUUGCAAGACAUGGAAAUAACAGUUAAAAGGCUCAGAUGGAAAUAAGAAAUAAAUUCCACCAACAAUAGGCCCUUUUGUCCUGGCUUGCUCGGUGUGAUUACUGCAAGGAAACUGUUAAGUAGUUUUUGGAGUAGUAGAUAAUGGGAUUCUGUGGAGCUUUCACAGGUUGGCACCGGCUGGAACAGCUGAGUUUUGAAGGCACUCUACAGACACAGGGCUGCUGUUGGCCCUGCAUCGCUCAUGGGAAGUCUUUGCACUUGAGAGAGCUAGUCAUCAAAAUCAGGUAUUGCCAACCCAAAUCCAAAACCCCGCGGCAAAAACAGCACCACCCCCCCCUCCCCGCCAAAGGAAAAACCAAAACCACAACGAAAUCACACACACACGCACACCUAAAAAAUUGUGCAGAUUUGUAACAUUUUCACAGCUGAUUUAGAAAAAAAACCAAAAACAAACAAAUAAAACCAGGAGAAAAACCACCACGCUAGCACUCUCCUGCAAACUCCCAUCCGAUACAGCAGUAAACAAAAUAGAGCAAUUAUCGCAGGGACAUCGGCGGCGCUGCCGGCGCCCCGUGCCCGGCAGCACCAUCGGGUCCCAGUCCCGGUUCCAUGUGCAACUCUCCGGGCGG